GAUAUCAGGAGGAACACCGAUGGCGAAGGCAGGUCUCUGGGCAUUAACUGACGCUGAGGAGCGAAAGCAUGGGGAGCGAACAGGAUUAGAUACCCUGGUAGUCCAUGCCGUAAACGUUGGGCACUAGGUGUGGGGGACAUUCCACGUUUUCCGCGCCGUAGCUAACGCAUUAAGUGCCCCGCCUGGGGAGUACGGCCGCAAGGCUAAAACUCAAAGGAAUUGACGGGGGCCCGCACAAGCGGCGGAGCAUGCGGAUUAAUUCGAUGCAACGCGAAGAACCUUACCAAGGCUUGACAUGGACCGGACCGCCGCAGAAAUGUGGUUUCCCCUUUGGGGCCGGUUCACAGGUGGUGCAUGGUUGUCGUCAGCUCGUGUCGUGAGAUGUUGGGUUAAGUCCCGCAACGAGCGCAACCCUCGUUCUAUGUUGCCAGCGCGUUAUGGCGGGGACUCAUAGGAGACUGCCGGGGUCAACUCGGAGGAAGGUGGGGACGACGUCAAAUCAUCAUGCCCCUUAUGUCUUGGGCUUCACGCAUGCUACAAUGGCCGGUACAAAGGGUUGCGAUACUGUGAGGUGGAGCUAAUCCCAAAAAGCCGGUCUCAGUUCGGAUUGGGGUCUGCAACUCGACCCCAUGAAGUCGGAGUCGCUAGUAAUCGCAGAUCAGCAACGCUGCGGUGAAUACGUUCCCGGGCCUUGUACACACCGCCCGUCAAGUCACGAAAGUUGGUAACACCCGAAGCCGGUGGCCUAACCCCUUGUGGGAGGGAGCUGUCGAAGGUGGGACUGGCGAUUGGACUAAGUC
rnacentral:rRNA from 1 species